rnacentral:lncRNA from 1 species
GCCAUAUUGUUAUUUUUAUUAAGUGACAUUUUAUAUUUUGUAAUUUGGUUAAAGAAGAGAUUAAAUGAGAUUAUGUUGUAAAGAAAAAAAAAAAAACGUUUCAAAGAAUAAACGUGUUCAUUUAUAGUGAAAGGUAUUUUAACAAGUUCCUUCCUUUGGCAGAUCCAGUCAUCUCAUUCCCGCAGGUAAACUGUGCAAUGCUUGUAAGAACGUGAAGCAAGAAUACAUGUUCUUUUUCCCCCAUCUCUUUCCUCCGCUCUUAAUUCCCCAGGCGGGGAUGACAGACUGACAGGUUGCUCGAGGUCAGAGGAGCAGUGGCCCUUCUCUCCCUGGGACUGUGCUGAUAGUCCAUAUAGGUCCCAGACACUCCUGGCUUCUUCGUGUGUUUUUUGCUGGAUCCUUGCCGCCGACUCGACGGUGUACCAGCCUCCUUGGAGACAGGACAAUGGGCGGGCUGCUGCGUUGCUGACUCGCACCUUUCUGGUCAACGCCUUUUUGCAUCCCUGUGGGUCACAGAUGCGGAAAUCAGAGAAGGACCUUAAAUGGGAGCAAUUCUAG